UCUACCCACAAGGCCUCCCCACAUUUGUUUACCUCUCUAGGCAGUGCACCAACUACUUCUAUUCCCUGAAAAUCUUCAUUGACCCGUUGUCCAUACCUAAGGCACUCAGUGCUCUUAGAGUCCCCUGCUAGGAUCUACACCUGUAUCCAGGGAGAGGCAAACGGAGUCAUCAUCAUUACAGCAUUACACCUAACACAGUCCGUGGCACAGAGCAGAUCCUGGACGAAGCUAGUGUGGCUAAAGGAGCGGGGAAAUACAAGUGACAAAGCAAUGGUCUUGGAUGUCCACAGCCUGGAUCCCAGCGCCAGCUCUAUCAUUGACUCAUUAAGAGACUAUGGACAGUGAUAGCUACUCUCCGGGCUGGCUGGAAGGAGCAAAGAGGAGAGCAACAUGAACUCCAUAAUAAAGUUCCUGGUGUAAACCUAUAGACAUGGAAAUAGGAAGAAACAAACCAACUUACUUAAAGUCAACCAUCACCAACUUCAAAGUACUCCAACUC